UGGAAACGUGUACAUCUGAGAAUUUCUGUGU
rnacentral:piRNA from 1 species